AAUGGGGGAAACCCUGACGCAGCAACGCCGCGUGGGUGAUGAAGGCCUUCGGGUCGUAAAGCUCUGUCUGGAGGGAAGAAAUGAUUGGGAGCUAAUACCUCUUGAUCUUGACGGUACCUCUGAAGGAAGCACCGGCUAACUCCGUGCCAGCAGCCGCGGUAAUACGGAGGGUGCAAGCGUUGUUCGGAAUUAUUGGGNGUAAAGGGCGCGUAGGCGGUCCUGUACGCCCGGCGUGAAACCCUGGAGCUCAACUCCGGGCCUGCGCUGGGAACUGCGGGACUAGAGUCAUGGAAGGGAAGUUGGAAUUCCAGGUGUAGGGGUGAAAUCUGUAGAUAUCUGGAAGAACACCGGUGGCGAAGGCGAACUUCUGGCCAAUGACUGACGCUGAGUCGCGAAAGUGCGGGGAGCAAA
rnacentral:rRNA from 1 species